rnacentral:rRNA from 1 species
UGGGGAAUAUUGCACAAUGGGCGCAAGCCUGAUGCAGCCAUGCCGCGUGUAUGAAGAAGGCCUUCGGGUUGUAAAGUACUUUCAGCGGGGAGGAAGGCGAUAAGGUUAAUAACCUUGUCGAUUGACGUUACCCGCAGAAGAAGCACCGGCUAACUCCGUGCCAGCAGCCGCGGUAAUACGGAGGGUGCAAGCGUUAAUCGGAAUUACUGGGCGUAAAGCGCACGCAGGCGGUCUGUCAAGUCGGAUGUGAAAUCCCCGGGCUCAACCUGGGAACUGCAUUCGAAACUGGCAGGCUAGAGUCUUGUAGAGGGGGGUAGAAUUCCAGGUGUAGCGGUGAAAUGCGUAGGGAUCUGGAGGAAUACCGGUGGCGAAGGCGGCCCCCUGGACAAAGACUGACGCUCAGGUGCGAA